rfam:Triticum aestivum genome assembly, contig: Triticum_aestivum_CS42_TGACv1_scaffold_130583_2BL
UAAUUACUCCCUCCGUCCAAAAAUACUUGUCAUCAAAAUGGACAAAAAAGAAUGUAUUUAGAACUAAAAUACAUUUAGAUACACCUUUUUUUAUUCAUUUCGAUGACAAGUAUUUCCGGAUGGAGGGAGUAGUAG